AUCUGGGAGGCCACAAACCAUGGAAGCUGUACGCAUGGCGUAGUGGACUAGCGGUUAGAGGAGACCCCUCCCUGGCAAAUCGCAGCAACAAUGGGGGCCCAAGGUGAGAUGAAGCUGUAGUCUCACUGGAAGGACUAGAGGUUAGAGGAGACCCCCCCGAAAUAAAAAACAGCAUAUUGACGC
rnacentral:lncRNA from 1 species